rnacentral:misc_RNA from 1 species
GAGGUGGCCUGGCGCAAGCUGGGGAAGCCCGACCUAUUGUCAUGUGCACGUUGGGGAAGAAGGGUGGCGCUGGGGUGGGUUGUUUGAAGUUGGGCCGGGACGGAUGGCAGCCUGAGAGGGCGAGAUCUGGAACGGCCCGGCGCGGCCUGCGUUGGCGCUGCUGCCCGGACGAAGGAGAACUUCGGCGGAAGAGGUAGGCUGGACCUGCCCGCCGCCGGCCGUAAGCUAGUUGAAACUCUUUGAGGAGAAAGUGAAGCCUGAUAUAAGAAAGAACAGAAAAUGAAAAGCAAAACUUUCAACAACGGAUCUCUUGGCUCU